UCGCUCGGUGACGUACACAUCUUAUUCUCAGCUAACAGACGUUUCCUGUUAUGUUCACACUCCCACGCAAUGGCACACAGUGGUCCAGAAAUGAAAAAUCAUGGCAAAAAUGUGCAUUUUUUAUAUUUUACUGUUUUUUGUCCAAAAGAAAUGUUGUGGAACAUGUAUUAUGGUCGCCAAGCUUAUUUUACGCAUUGUCACAAUCUUUGGUUUUCAUACAACAAAAUUGAUGUUUUUCAUAAAUGUUGAUGCUCUUAAUAAUACCAAAAAACGAAUGUUUAGGCAAGUUUAAGCAAGAGGAUUGAUCUCUAAUCGAUUCCUUAGACAUAUGAGAGCAUUUGAAAAAUGAAGCUGUCUUUUUUUUUAUUUGACACAGUGUUUUGUAACCUUUCAAAAAAGUUACAAUAUUUUGUACCAUAGCAAUCAACCUAUUGAAUUAACUCCUCUUGUAAAUAGCUUUUUGUAAAUAGUUUUUGUAUAUACUUUGUAUAUAUUUAAUUUGUUAGUUGUUAGAAUCUUUUUUCUUAAAAUAUAUUGAAUUUGUGGUCAUAAAAUAAAAUAAAUAAAAUUAAAUAGAAUAUGAAAUAAAUGAAUUUAAUCCCUAUCCUUUCCUACCCCUUUUUCCUUGGUGUCAGAUGCCCUUUACAAUCCUAUUUUAACUUGAAUUUAUAAACCUUUCCCAAUAUCCCCCUGACACCAAAGACCGUGUGCACCAACCAUAUUGUACGUUGGGUACACGUCAUCGCAAUAUGAAUCCCAGAUCCAGAACAUCAUCUGGAAUAAAAACCCCAUGCAUCGAUGGAUCGAUCUCUUAUUCGUGUAACGAAAUAGUGAAAUUAGUGACCACGUGAGCGUUAUUGGUCAAGUCUACCCGGCAUUGAAGCUUCUGUGUGACCGCCCGUUAGUGAAGCAUCCACGUGUUAGGGAGAGUCGACCAAACGUUAGUGGGUGCAACUACCGAAGAGAAGGUAUCGAGCGAGGCCACCCGCCAACCCAGCCUGCGUCGCAUCAUCAGCGGCAGCGAAUUAUCGUGGAUACCCGAGCAGAAAAAGGUGUGUCCAUUCCAAAUUCCCCCUUUAAUCAUUCCUUUGUACAUAUCUAUUGAAUUCGAAUAAUUAAAUUGUAAGACUUUAUUGAAUUAGAA